UCAGGUAGUUGGUGAGGUAAAGGCUCACCAAGCCUACGACGGGUAGCCGGCCUGAGAGGGUGACCGGCCACACUGGGACUGAGACACGGCCCAGACUCCUACGGGAGGCAGCAGUGGGGAAUAUUGCACAAUGGGCGCAAGCCUGAUGCAGCAACGCCGCGUGAGGGAUGACGGCCUUCGGGUUGUAAACCUCUUUUAGUAGGGAAGAAGCGAAAGUGACGGUACCUGCAGAAAAAGCACCGGCUAACUACGUGCCAGCAGCCGCGGUAAUACGUAGGGUGCGAGCGUUGUCCGGAAUUAUUGGGCGUAAAGAGCUCGUAGGCGGUCUGUCGCGUCUGCUGUGAAAACCCGAGGCUCAACCUCGGGCCUGCAGUGGGUACGGGCAGACUAGAGUGCGGUAGGGGAGAAUGGAAUUCCUGGUGUAGCGGUGGAAUGCGCAGAUAUCAGGAGGAACACCGAUGGCGAAGGCAGUUCUCUGGGCCGUAACUGACGCUGAGGAGCGAAAGCGUGGGGAGCGAACAGGAUUAGAUACCCUGGUAGUCCACGCCGUAAACGUUGGGCGCUAGAUGUGGGGACCAUUCCACGGUUUCCG
rnacentral:rRNA from 1 species